UACUUCUUCAGUGGCGUCCCUGCAGAGCAUGUGGAACACGAUGGAAGAAUACAUGGGAGCCCAUCUCAAGCCUUGAAUCAGCAACUGAGAUACAUCCAUGAUGAGCCCUUUUGAACACCACCCCUCGUCCAAGACCUUUUCGGUU